rnacentral:rRNA from 1 species
GACGGAAGGUGCAAGCGUUGCUCGGAAUUACUGGGCGUAAAGGGUGCGUAGGCGGCCUUGCAAGUCUGGCGUGAAAGCCCCGGGCUCAGCCCGGGAAGUGCGCUCGAAACUGCGCGGCUCGAGUGUCGGAGGGGAGAGUGGAAUUCCUGGUGUAGCGGUGAAAUGCGUAGAUAUCAGGAGGAAUACCGGUGGCGAAGGCGACUCUCUGGACGGCAACUGACGCUGAGGCACGAAAGCGUGGGGAGCAAACAGG